AAUUUACGGGAUUUUUACUUCGGGAACCACACUGAAAGUUUUAUGUUCUCUUUAUAGAGAGUACUGUCUAUUGGACCACAGUGACAGCAGGACCGCUGGCCACAUGAGUAUGACUACAACAGCGUGUUCCCCUGUCCUGAUUGGUUCGGAUAAGAGCCAUGAGAUGUCACUCGCCAUGUAUUAGUGUGCCAUCACAAUGUGGGCGUAUCUAUGUAGCAUCGGGCAGCAAGAGGUCACGUCAACACGCGAGAUUGGACACUCCACUCCAGUUGUGAAGUCACAAAAGCGGACGAUUUUGAAACGGAUUAUAAUGCCUCACAUCCGAAAAAGGGUAGAACCAAGCCCUACCUCAGGGUCCCCCUCUGCACAGCCAGCUCCAGGAGUAUAGCCAGAGCAAGGUGCUGGUCCUGCAGGGGAAUGUUGCCUUUGGCACUGGCACUUCCAUGGACAUCACUGGUUCCCCGCAAGACGGCAUCAGAACACAUGACACACAGCACGCUGUGGGUAUGGAGCCUCUCUCGUCGGCACCUCACCUGAGGAACUUGGCGGCCCGUUCGACCACCUCCAGCCACACGGAGGAGACUGUGCCCUCGUCGAACAGUGUGGCCUCGGGCAGGGCCCGCAACGCGUCCAGAGACUCCUGGAGCAGCUCGCUGCACAGGUCUGCAUCGUCCCCUACACCACCACAAUCAGGGGUUAAAGAAAGCCUGGACUGGGGUUUCAUAGAGGGGCACUUUGGUGCUUUAGAUCAGAAACAGUCUGUGUUCAUAUAGCACAAUCCGACCGGCAUGGCCCUUCAUAGCGACUCAAGGUCAUAGUGAUUAACAGUAAAUGCCUCACAUUCAAACACCAAAACACAUUCACAGACACUUUCCGCAUUCAUACACUGGCUCUCACACACGCAGGCAGUUUUUCAGCUGUUAAACACUUUUUUUUUUUUGGGGGGGGUUGAAUGACUUGUUCAAGGGCACUGCAGCCCUUUGUGCAAAGAGAAGCAUGGAUAUUCAACCGGCAACCUCCUUUGUUGGCCUAAGAAGAGCUCUAGCCCUGAUUAUAGAACAUAUCAUAAGUUCAAGCUCGGAGAUAAGCAAAGCUCCUAGGAACCGAACAACUGAAAACUGUCAAAAUACUUCAAUAUAUUUAAACAGUACUAUCUAAAUUAGGGGUGAAAAAAAUACUAAAUCUGGUUAUUUUUUACCUACUUUCAUAGUGUGUUGUAAUGCAAACU
ensembl:lncRNA